UGCACAGGUUUCAGCAGCAUCUCAGAUGUGCCAAGGUAGAUGAAGAGCUAUGUGCUGCACAAUAUUGACAUGCGAGAGGUAUGUGUAAAGGCAGACGAGCGUGAGAAGUAGAGCAACAUCAUCGGUGUAACCAAGUUCUGAAACUGAACAGAACUAAACUCUGUUCUGGCCACUGAAAUUAAAUGUAGUCACUGCAAACAAUUUUACAUUUACUGGGAGGUCUCACAUUGCGCACAUUCAGUGGCACGGCUUCUCAAAUAGCAUAGGUUAACAGAAACUCACCAGUCUAAAUAAAGAAAAAAACAGCACAGAAAUUACAUAGAGGACCCCUUUAAUCUUCUUUUUAUCUGCUCGUAGAUAUACAUUCCAACAAAUGGCCACACACCUAGCAGACAGAGCAGUCUGCUAAUUGAGGGCGGAAAUGAAAUAUGUUUAUUUGUAUCAAGCUAUCAUUUCUGUGUACUUGGGUACACAUCUACAUAAGUAAUGGGGAAAAAAAUGAAUAAGGUCCAUCUCUUGGAAGGAAAUAUU
rnacentral:lncRNA from 1 species